rnacentral:lncRNA from 1 species
GGGACCGAGCGGGACCCCGAACCAAGGGACAGUCGCAGUUUGGGCCCCUUGAAUUUUACUUUCAAGUAAUGGGAAACUGAGGAGGCGGGCGCUUUCCCCAGCGUUUUUAGGGGCCCACUAAGUAAGGCCUAGCGGGAGCCAGAUUUUACAAUCUGGGACGGUAAAUCCCUUGGGGCAGGGCCGGAGACGGGAGCCGCUAGAGCUGGUCACAAAGCAGGGAACGCAAACUCAGCCUGCUGGAAGCCAGGCACGAGUUUGCGAACUACUACUGGAUUCUUUUUCCCACCAAGCCCAAGGGCUGCGACACUUGGGAUUAAUGCCCAAUGGAUCAUUCCUAGGAAACGGCCGACCUGACUAUUCGGCCCAUUUUCAAACCUCUAACCAUAGACUCUCAUCUUUCUCCCACAACAGAAAAAAAAAGCCUCUGGCGACGCCUGGGAGCGCGACGGAGGCGCAAGAGCUCUAACCGCGCGAGGUGAAAACUCCGACUGCGUCAGAGCCGCCCCGCCCCGCCUGGGGCCCACCUUCCGCCGCCCCUCCGAGCUGCGGCGAAAACCCGGAGAGCGGCUAGGCCGGGGUCGGAGCCCGCGCAUGCCCAGUAGCCCCACGUGGUGCAAGUCGCCUGAAGGAAGGUUUUCCUCUGCUCCCCGAGCGAAGCCCCAGCGCCCAAGUUAGGAUGGACAGCGGGGAGAGCUGGCCUUCCCGCCCCGAUGCCCGCCGUCCCUGGCCGGCCCGCGCCGCACCUCGGUGGCCUACAGGCAGCCCGAGGCCGUGCCUCCCGCGGGGUCGGGGACUUGGCGAGCGGGGGAAGGGGCGCGGCUACGGGCCCGGCGUACCACGUGACUGUCCGCGGCGCUCCGGGCAGCCAUCUUCCGCCCGGCCAUCGGGCCGCGGGCGCUCGGAACCGACCUGGGAGCUGGCGGGACCGUCCUCCCCCGCCACGCCCUCCCAUCGGGCUUUGGGCGCCGGACUCUGGCCACCGCUCGGCACCUGCCUCCGCCUCGCCUUGGGGUAUAGGAGUCCUGUACCGACCCCUGGCUUGCCCAGAGGACAGGUUCUCGCCCGGGCCAGAAGCAAACUGCGGCGAAAUCGAGACAACAGAACUCAGAGUCACUCUGUCACCCAGGCUGGAGUGCAGUGGCACCAUCACAGCUCCCUGCAGCCUUGACUUACAGGGCUCCAGUGAUCCUCCACCCUCAGCCUCCUGAGUAUCUGAGACCACAGGUGCAAGCCACCAUGCCCAGGUAAUUUUUUAUUUUUGGCCGAGGCUGUUUCAUCAUGUUGCCCAAACUGGCCUUGAACCCCUGAGCUCAAGUAAUCCACAGGCCUCCGCUUCCCAAAGUGCUGAGAUUACAAGCAUGAGCCACUGUGCCUUGCUUACCAGUGUAUUUCUUAGGAAAAUUUUAAUAAACAUCAUAUUGUUGGAUUGUAAAAUUUUUGGAUUCUCAAGUACUCAGAAUAUCAUGAAUUACGUUGCUGUCAAGACAACUAGGAAACAAAAGUGAAUCACCUCCAAGUCACAAUCUGUCAUUAGAAAUCUUGUUAAAAAUAAUACUAAGAGCAAAUACUGAAGCAAAUGCUUCACUUACCAAAACAGCUAUUCUGAAGUAGGUGGUUUGGUUCCAAAUGAAUGACUUUUCUACCUUUAGAAGGUAAACUACCUGAUUUAAAAUGUGGUUUUAUUCAGUGGACCUUUCAGCAGUAGCCAUCACUCACCAUUGAGAAGGUGGGCUUCUCUCACCACCUUAAUCUCUGUAGGUCUCUUUCACCCUCUAGCAUACAUCUUACUAAGGCAUCUAAAGUACUUACUACUUCGUACUCAUGGGAUCCAAUGAUGCUCACAUAAUGUCAUCAAUAGAGUGGACCAGUGUGAUGUUUUGUGGAAUGUCAGAACAAUCAAGAUCACUUCAGACUAUUAUGGCAGUGAGCAAGAGAACUAAUGGAGCCCGUGGCAACACUGGGAAGACAUAUUGUUGGCCCUGUUGGGUAACAGCAAAUCACUUCUGAUGGACCUUGCAAAUUGGUAUGGAGGAAAAGGCAUUAGCCAGUUGUAGCAAGGAAACCAAAAGGUAUAAACAUUCACUGAUUGAAAAACAAUGUCAUAAAGUCAUCCCAGUAUCUGUGAGGAGUUGGUUCCAGGACCCCUGAGGACACCAAAAUCCUCAGAUGCUCAAGUCCCUGAUAAAAAAAUAAAAGUGGUGCCCUCGGGUUCAAAAACCUGAACGGUGGUCUUCAGUUGUUCCCCCAAGCUCCUCUAUCAGAGGCCCAGACACUCCAAGAGGCUGGGAAGAGGCAAGUGGCUUUCCCUGACUGGCAUCAGACUCCUGGAUGGCUGUGUUUCUGCAUACUCCACCAUCAACAAUCAGAAGGGCACUGCUUUCUUCAAGAAGGGGACCUUGCAAAGAACUGUCUCAGAUGGACUAUCUUUGAGUUCAUCUUGUUCUGAAUGUGAGUCUGAGUCUUUGUUUCCAGAUGACACAGUGCUGUCUGAGUCCUCUGAAUCACCUGCCUCAGAGCUGCAGCAAAGUUUCUGCUGCCCAGAAACUGAAUGGGCUGCUUGUAAUGCAGAUUCUUCCUCCUGGACAAGAAGUGCUGCUGCUUCUAGUUCUUCCAGUUCUAACCCCAACUGGGCCUUUGUAAGGGAGACUUCCUUUAAGGCUUCUGCAAGAGCUGCCAACGUUUUGGAUUUGACUUUCUGAGUCCACACACAGUAGUAUGAGAUGUAGAGAUCAUUCAGUAUGUAUGCUGGGUCGUUUUCCUGAAAAAUUUUGUGAAUAUCCAGGAGACACUUUAAAACUGCACUUUUACUUAAUUGCAGUAUCUUUAUAGUCUCCCCGUAGGCCUUCAUCGCCAGUUUGAAAUGGCGAUAGAGCAGGUAACACAAUACCCUUCUUCCAAAAGACACCAUGAUAUCAUGAACAUUAGUCCAAGUCUCAAACCAGCAUAGUAUUGGACUCAAGUUUCGUGAUAUUCCAUGCAGAUUCAACGUUCUUGUCUCCUUCAGUGACACGGGUUUCUUAGCAAUAUGCCAGAAGGAUAUCAAUCGAACUGUAGUACACUUGACGACAGGCUCUGUUGUCUAGCAGAUAAGAUUUAUUGACAAAUUCUUGUAGCUGAUAUUUCUCUUCUUCAGAAAAAGACACUAAUGCAGCAUGAUUUUCUUGCUUCUGACUCUUUUCCAAAAAGGCCGUCAUUUUUUAAUAUUUGUCAGUCCACCAAGGAUUAUACUUCAAAAUCUGUUCAACUGCCUCAUCUUCAAAAAAGUCAGCUAGAUAAUGAUCAGGAUCAAACUUGGCCAGCUCGGCGGCCAGGUGCUUUUGUUUUCGUUCUGCUGCAGGGAUGAAAUCUGGAUCCUUAAUAACAUCACUCAAUUCAUCCUGUAACUGCUGAAACACUCCUGAUCGUAAGUUUCCAAACCCAUAGUGGCAUGAGGAUUCAAAGCACUUUCUGUUACCUCUUCAUAGGGUGUCUGCUCAAUUUCCCAAUCAAACUCUUCAUCGUCAACUACUUCCUCAGGAAUUUCAGAAUCACCUAUUGCUUCCACAAGUGGUUUUGCUGUCCCGGAUUUUCCUGGUGCCAGAAGAGCAACACAUGUUCAGCCCCUCAAAAUGCUGGCCAGGGGUUUCUCUGGGCAGGCGAGUGGUAAAAAUUCCUUUAUCUGCAUCAUAGGACCCUUGCUCGCUUCCGUAUCCAUAUUCUACAAUUCUUCCAGGAGGGGUUAAUCUGAGAAAGUACGGCUUGGCAUAGUAGUCUAGGCCGACCCCUCGAAGUAGACGUUGAACUCGGAGGCCGGGGCAUAGGGCACGCGGAUGGCGAUGGUCAGGAAAUCCGGCUCCUGGCUGAGGCUGAACGCCGGGGUCAGCAUCGCGGCACCAGACGCAGGGGCCAGCGCGGCUCGCCCUCGCUGCCGCGGCGGUCCCACCAAGCAACUCUCUCCAAUUUUACCUUUUUAAAAUAAAAGAUGUCUGGGCCAGGCGCAGUGGCUCACGCUUGUAAUCCCAGCACUUUGGGAAGCCGAGGCGGGUGGAUCCUGACCUGAGGUCAGGAGUUCAAGAUCAGCCCCGCCGACAUGACGAAACUCCGUCUCUACUAAAAAUACAAACAUCAGCCGGACGUGGUGGUGGGCGCCUGUAAUCCCCACUACUCGGGAGGCUGAGGCAGGAGAAUCACUUGAACCCGGGAGGCAGAGGUUGCAAUGAGCCGAGAUCAUGCCACUGUACUCCAGCCUGGGUGACAGAGUGAGACUCUGUCUCAAAAAAAAAAAAAAAAAAAAAAAAAAAAGUCUGUCUUCCAGGACACAGAAGCCUCCUAUACACACAUUUUGGCACUUGAUUAUGUUAUGUCUUUUACAGUUCUCUGCAUGUUUCUUGCAGGUAAGUCUUGAUUCUUCAAUUACAUAUUAAAUUUCUAUUGAGGAUAUAUAUCUAGCUUUCAUCUUUCAGAGUACCUAGCAUAGGACUUGGCACCAAGUAGCCCAUAGUAAACAGUUAUUCAACCAUAAUGUAUGAUUUUCUUUUCUACUUUUCACUGGUAUGUUUUUGUUUAAAAAGGGUAAACCACCAGGGAUGGAAAUGUCCUUGCUAUGUUAUCCUUCUUCUCUAAUUAGCAACCACCCUUCACAAUCUGCCACAUUACAUUUAAAAAGGAUUUUCAAAUUAGACAUUUAUGCCUGGGCAUUAACCAGGGACUGAUGAAUCAGUGCCAUCAGCAGAACACUGCCCUGACUGGCAGACAUGGCACCAUUGUCAAGACUUGUAAUUUACUCCUGGCUUUUCAAAUAGUCAGUGUGUAACUCCAGGCAAGGUUUAAUUAUCUCCUGUUAAAAUGGGAAUAAUAUGACCCACCCCCACUUUGCUUCCCAUGGGUAUCAUGAGAAUUAAUUAAUUAUUGAAUAAGAAUAUAUGUCUAUAAAAUAUUUUAUAGUUCAUUAGAGGUAAACAAAUGCAAACGUAAGAUAUUGUUCAAUGUAUUAUGAAUGUUCAUUGUUGCUGUAUUUAGUACAAAGUACCUGUAUUAUAUCAACAGUGGUAGUACACAAAAUAAUGAAUACAUGUUGGGUCAGCACCUCCUCCAAUUACCACUUGCAAACAAGUCCUGGAUGGCCAGAACUAAUUGGAAGGUUGAGACAAAAAUUAUAUCUCGCACACUAAAGAAGGGGAGAUUGAUACAGCGCGCUCACCUAAAUUUCGUAGUGCCUUCAUGAACUCUUCAAAAGCUUCAAAUCUAGGCUAGGCUACAGGAAGAACAGCAGCAACUGAAGACUGGCACCUUUUCUGGAACCUCAGCAGCACCUUCCUUGUUUCGUAAGAUUUCGAAGAAGCAUAUCAAAAUUCUUCCACCCAUUCCUUCACAGUAUAAUAGGAGAAAACAUCUAUCCUCCGUUGACACCUGGAAGAAUGAGAUUCCAACUCACUCCAGGACAUGGCCAGAAAAAUUCAACAAAAGAUUUGCUAAAUCCUCUGCACUAUUAUCUAGACCAGGAUUUCUCAACCUCAGCUCUGUGGACAUUUGGGCCAGAUAAUUCUUUGUUACCAGAGGCUGUCCUGUACAUCAUCAGGUGUUUAGCAGCAUUCCUGGCCUCAACCAAAUGGAUGCCAGUAGCACCUCCCCCACCCACUUGUGACAGCCAAAGAUAUCUCCAGACAUUGCCAAAUGUCCCCUGUUAUGGAGAAUCAUCCUCAGUUGAGAAUCACUGGUUUAGGCAAUGAUCAAAGUGGGGCAACUAAAUCAAAAGGCACUGCAAUCUUAAGUUGAUCAAGCAUCCUUCUUUGAAAUCACUCAGCACUUUCAUAUAUUGCAUUUAUAUCUUAGGUAUUCAUAUUCUAACAAUUCAGCCAAUGUUUUUUGAGUUCGCAAUGGACAAGGUACAAGAUCAAGUAAGUAAUUCUGUGUAUCCAUAAAACAGAAAUGGAUAUGGUAUGUCCCAGUUCUCCACAGUAGGCAUUUAUGUUAUUCCCAUCCCAAUAUUUAGCCCUGAUCAGGGUUGUCAAACAUUGCAUGGGACAUACUUAUCCUAAAAAAUUAUUCAUUAUUUAUCUGAAAUUGAAAUUUAACUGGAUGUCCUAUGUGUGUGCAUGUGUAUGUUUGUUUGUUUGUUUCUUUUUCUAAAUCUGAUUACCCUAUCCUAACAGACUCAAGGUUUUUUCCCUGUUCCACAAACUUUAUGACUUGACUUCAUUAAAAAUAAUAAAGAGGAAUAACUGCAAAGGCUUUAAAAAUGCUGUUAGAAUGAGUAGCACAACUGAAUUUGAGGAUACAUUUUCUUUGAAGGAUGUCUAUUUUCCUACUGAAAAUAGUGGCAAACUCCUUAGAACUCAUUCAAAGCCUGAUGGGAUUCAUUGCCUGAUUUAUUUAAAAACACUUCUGAUGCUCACAGACUAUUUAUCAUUUACACAGCAAAUGAUGUUCUUCUAGUAUUCUUGUUGGGUGAGUUAGCAUUGUGGAAGGACAUAGAGGAGAAUCAGACACAAACUUCUUAUAACCUCAUAAACAGGAAGAAAGGGAGCAGAAGCAUAGACUGACUUUACUUUCACUCAGCUUACCUUCCUAGUUCUCCAGGUGUGGUCCUCAGAAGAGGAAUAUCAUGUGACCUGGGAACUUGCUAGAAAUGCACAUCCUUGGGACCCACCCCGGACCUACUGAAUCAGAAACUCUGAGAGUGGGUCCUAGCAACCAGUGUUUUCACAGGCCUUCCAGGUGAUUCUUCCGCAUGUUCGAGUUUGAGAACAACUGCUUUAGAGCCCUGGUUCUUGACCCUGGCUACAGGGUAAAACACCUGGGGAGUUUUUAAAAUACUGAUGCAUGGGGUCCAUUCCAAGGGAGUCUGAUAUAAUUACUAUGGGGUGCAGCCCAGGCGUAAACAUUUUUUAAAAACUCCUCAACCAGAAUAACGGCUCUACAGAAAUUUUAUCAAAUGCCAAAGAAAGAGUUCCUUAUUUUGCAACUAUAGUGCUUUCUACUCUGGCCCUAAUCAACUUUCAUAAAGGCAGAAUGGACAGACAUUACGUGUUUUAAUUUGAAGACUACCAAAAGGCCGGCCAUUAAACUAGGUAUAUGGGCUCGUCCUCAAAUCCCUAAAUCUACUCCUUAGGACCUACUAUAGCCAGUGUCAUAUAAUAGAAAAGUCACUUAUUGUCCACCAGACCCUGCCCUAAUAUUUGAUAACCUCUUGGGGCCUCAUUUUCUUGUGUCUACACUGGGGAUGAUAUUAACUCUUCACAGGAUUUGGGGAAUUAUAAAGAAAGACCAUGUAGUAAAGGCAGGAAGAUCAAUAAUCAAUAAUCACAUCAGAACCUGAAGGGACUUCGUACCAUUGAAGUGAGGCAGAGGAGAGAGAAAUUUAGAAGGACAAAUUCACAAAUUUCAAUGUGUUUCUAUAAUAACUACUUAAAUUAUUUUCUCUUUGAAUUGCCUCACUGUUGUGUGUGUAUGUCCCCACUCCCACCUGUCCCAUUAUUUUCCUGUUUUCACUUGUACCUUGGCAACCCAUCUGUGGUUUUGGCCAAGCUGUUUUAAUGGCAUUGAACCUGGUAGUUUUUUUAAAAGAGUGUGGUAGUAGUUAUAUAUGGCUCGAUAACUCCUGGGGCUACAACAAGGUUAAUGCGACAGUUUUUGUUGUUUAAAAAACAUGCUUGUCUGACAAGUCAAUCAUUUUAAGCCCCUUGUUCACUUCAGGAUGGUUGCUAAAGGCUUCUCUGUGAGCUAAAAGCUCUCGCUGUUAAGGGGCUGCCUGCCCUGACUGUAUGCAUUAAAUGGAACAGUUCUCUACAUGGUUUCUUACUACAGAUGCCUUGGGAUAUAUGGACACUGGCAUUACCUGCUGCAACAGGUCCUCUCCCAGGGUACUGCUGAGACCUAAGGGCUUAAAUGCUCACCAAACCAAGUGACCUUGGAGGGCUGGUCAUGGUGGGCAUCUGGGAGCUGGGAAAGAGCAUUGGAGAACUUCAUAGGGAAACCUAGUAGGCAAAAAUGAAAGAACCCAUAAGGGCCAUUGGCAUGAGCCAUAGCUAAAGGCCACUGGGUUAGCUCUCAAAGAAAACUGCAAGAUUGAAGCAUAAAUUCCUUCAUCAUGAACCAGAAGUCAUGGAGUGGAGCCAGGGGCAAGAAAGAGAAAGAUGAAGAGGUAGAACCACCAGGAUAAAGGUGCCAAGAAAAACAGUGAGAGCAACACUCAGGGAACCAGAGACAGGAACACAGCUGGGAACUAGGAGGAGAAACCACCACAGCUGGAGCGCAAAGUGGCCAGGUCAGAAAAGCCUCAUGGAAUCCUGGUUAACUGAAUGUUUCUAUUGACUGAGGCCACUGCUUAAGCCCUGUAUUCUUUUUUAUUUCAAUCCCCAUGGUUAGAAAAAUAGUCCUAAAAUGGGUUCAUACCCUUUCCUAUCCUGCAAGAUCUUAAACAUCACUAUCUUUUCCUGCAGUAGUUAAAAGCAUGGGCUUUGGAAUCAGAAACUGGGCACAAAUCUGAGCCCUGCUACUUAUUAACUGUGUAACAUUGGUCAAAUGAAUAAACUUCCUGGAGCCUCAGUUUCCUUGCCUGUAAAAUGUGAGUAACAAUACCAACUUAUUUUCAGGUUGUGAGCAUUUCUCCAUAAUAAUCCACAUAAAACACUUACCAGAGCCCUUGGCAUACUGUGUGAGCAUGUAAUAAUGUUAGCUGUCAUUCCAAGACAACAUGUUGGAAUAAUCUACUUUUUCCAUCACUAUAUAUCUCAUUUUCCUUCUUUUUCUUCUCCCUCAAACCUGUCCCCAUUCCAACAGAUGUUUUGGCCUGUGUUCCUAGCCUCCAGUGACAGCAGAAAGCCUGUUAGAUUUCCUGCCUUUGUUUCCCAAAAUUUGAGCCCCAAGAAACUGGGACAAGAUAUUUUCCUGAGACAAGAUAUCUCAGGAAGGGGAAUGAGUGGAGCUUCUUUUCACCCCACACUAGAAAGCCAUUCUGUUUAGAAAAAGGAGACGGAAGGGAAAGAAAAGGGUGCUAUACCAGUUUUCCAGUAUCACCGUCAGGGAGAAAGCAAGGCCGGAGAGUAUCUGGGCAGAUGUAACUAUAAGCAGCCUAAUAAAGGUUCCCAAGUCCAAACCAUGAAUCCAAACGGCAGAGCUGCCAGACAUGAAAGGCCUUGCUGCCCUUCCACCCCACAAUACUUCACCUCUGGAAGCCUUGACAAUUCCAGGGAGUAUUUGCAAAACCCUGCCCCCACCCAAAAUUUUUAAAAUACUGCAUAUGAGUGAGUAAAAUGAUGCCGAGAUUUUUAAAAGGACAAGCUUACCAUCAGAUAGGUAGAAUGAGUAGUAGUGGCAGCGGUGGUGGUAGUGAUAUAGAGAUAAAAGAGUUAAGUGGAGUUACUGAAAUGUGUAGUUAUAUUUCUCACACUCUGGUGUUUGUGGAUUUGUGGGCUGAGAUUCUUAUCAAAUUCCGGAACUUGCAAUGUCUCAAGGUAAUUGUUUAAAAUAUUAAUUGUUUUACUCACACUGCAAAUGUUGAUAUAGAUGCUGGGGUGGAGGUGGGGCAAUAGGCCAGAAUAAGCCCAAGAAUACCUUGGAAUUUGCUGAAUUUCUUUCUUUUUGCAUAAUCUUAUUCACACAUUAACAUAAUAUGAACCACUCUGGCUCCAUGAGCAGCACAGAAGAGACUUUCUGCAAAUGUGAUUAUUAGGGCAAAAGUUAGGAGAUUUUUUGCCCCCAGCUUUUCUCCUCUCCUAAAAUCUUUUUUUUUUUUUCAUUUCUUUGUCAGUGUCUUUAAUUUUUUUAGCUGCAUUUAAAAGGCUUUCUAUUAUUUCUGCAUGAGUAAGAGCAUGUGUCAUGUCAGCCUCCUUGUCAGCUUCUGUUUCACUUUCAUUAAAUUUGUUGAUUGAGUGUAAAGAAGGAGGCACUGUCAUCAUUUCCAGAUUUCAUAGCUGUAGGUUAGAUCUCUCUCGGAGCAAUGCCAUGAUUACUGCUGCAAUUUUGUAAUGGAGCCCUGGAGAGACAGGGAUGAAACCAGGGAAGGCUCCUUAUCCCUUUCGUGGGUCCAGGGAGGCAGAAAGAGAGGGGAGGAGGAUGUUUCUGUUUCACCUCUAUUCAUUCAUUCAUUCAUUUGCUUCACAAAUAUUGAGCACCUCCUGAGUGACAGACACUGAUUUGGGUGCUGGAAAGCAUAAGCAGCCCUGGUGCCUGUCCUCACAGAGCCUAUGGUCUGCUGGUGAGACGGACUUAAUCAGAUAAACACACUAAUGAAUGUAUAGUUGCACCAACAGAUCCUCAUUUAAUUGAGCUGGACUAGGACCUAGGCAUCAGUAUUUUUUUUAUAAGCUUCAUAGGUAACUCUGCCAGGCCUGGGAAUCACUGGGCUAGACCAUGCAAGUUCUAAUCAUAUAGGCUCUACUCAAGCAUUAAGCAUUUUGAUUUUAUCUUUCAAGCUGUGGUGAAAACGUUACUGAAGAGAGGUGAUAUAGUAAGAUGCUCACGGUUUUUAAAAUUAAGCUUUUUUAUUUUGAAAUAAUUAUAGACUCAUAUGCAGUUGUAAGAAAUAAUACAGGGGAAUCCCAUAUAUCCUUUAUCCAGUUUCCCCAAUGGUAACAUCUUGCAAAACUAUGGUACAAUAUCACAACCAGGAUAUUGACCUUGGUGCAGUCAAGAUAAAGCAUUUUCAACACCACAUGAAUCCCUCCUGUUGUCCUUGGAUAGCCCUCCCCACUUUACUCCUGGUGACCACUAAUAUGUUCUCCAUUUCUAUAAUCUUGUCUUUUCAACAGUUAUAUAAGUGGAAUCAUAUAGUAUAGAACCUCAUGGGAUUGGCUGUUUUCUCUCAGCAUCAUUUUCUGGACAUUCAUUCAGGUUGUUUCACGUGUCAAUAGUUUGUUCCUUUUUAGAGGGCUGACUAGCGGUGUUCCAUGUAUAGGGGUGCCAUAGUUUGUUUAACCAUUCACAUGUUGAAGGACAUCUGGGUCUGCUCCAAUGUUCAGAGAUUUUAAAUAGAGCUGCUAUACACAUUUGUGUAUAGGUUUUUGUGUGAACAUGAAGUCUUUGUUUCUCUGGGAUACAUGCCCAAGUGUGCAAUUGCUGAGUUAUAUGAUAGUUGCAUGUAGAAACUAUCAUGCAUAAAGAAACUGUCAAACUAUUUCCAGAGUAUCUGCACCAUUUUACAUUCUCAACAGUAAUGUACCAGUGAUCCAGUUUCUCCUCAUUCUCAUCAGAAUUUAAUGUUGCCACUGUUUUUUAUUUCAGCCAUUCUGAUAGGUAUGUGGUAAUUGCUUGUUGUGGUUUGCUUUGAGUUUCUCUAAUGGCCAACGAUGCUGAACAUCUUUUCAUGUGCUUAGUUGCCAUCUGUAUAUUACCUUUGGUGAAGUGUCUCUUCAUGUCUUUGGCCUAUUUUCUAAUUGGAUUAUUAGCCUUAAUGUUGAGUUUUGAGAGUUUACUUUUAUAUUCCAAAUACUAGUCCCUUUUGUCAAAUAUGGGGUUUGCAAUUUUUUUCCCACUCUCCAAUUUGUUUUUUAUCCUGUUUACAGGGUCUUUCACAGAGCAAAGUUUUUUAAUUGUGAUGCAGUCUAAUUUAUCAGCUUUUCCUUUUAUGGACCAUAUUUUUGGUGUCGAGUCUAAGUCGUCUUUGCUGAGUCCUACAUCAUGAAGAUUUUUUCUUACUAAAAUUUGAUAGUUUUAAAUGUUCUCUAUUUAAGUCCGUGAGUUAUUUUGAGUUAAUUUUUGCAUAAGGUAUAAAUCUUAGGUUGAGGCUCACUUUUUAAUCUUAAGGAUUGCUCAGCAUCAUUUAUUGAAAAGGCUAUCUUCCCUCCAUUGAAUUUCUUUUGUACCUGUGUCAAAACAUCAGUUGCAUAUAUUUGUGUGUAUCAAUUUCUGGGUCUUCUGUUCUGUUCAGUGGAUCUAUGUGUCUAUUUCUCUGCCAAUACCAUAUAGUUUUGACUAUAGUAGCUGUAUAAUAAGUCUUGAAACCCUUGAAACCAGGUAAGACUGGUCCCUUUCAUAUUAGCCUUCCUUUUCAAAAUUGUUUUAGCUAUUCUAGUUCCUUUGCUUUUCUGUAUACAUUGUAGAAUAGUGUUGUCUAUAUCUAUUUUUAAAACUUGCUGGAAUUUUUUUUUAAGAGACAGAGUCUUGCACUGUUGGCCAGGUUGGAGUACAGGGGUAUGAUCAUAGCUCACUACAGCACCAAACUCCUGGGCUCUAGCAAUCUUCCUGCCUCAGUCUCCCAAGUAGGUAGAACUACAUGCAACUGCCACUACAAUCGUAUUUAAAAGUAAAGUUAAAAAAAUUUUUUUUGAGAGAAGAUCUCACUCUGUUGACUAGUCUGGUCUUGAACACCUAGCCUCCAGCAAUCCUCUUGCCUCCCAAAGCACUGGAAUUGCAAGAGUGAGCUACCAGGCCCAACCAGUAUGUUAUGUGUGCAGUUUUUUGUAGAUAUUAUUUAUUAUGUUGAGGAAACUCCCCUCUAUUGCCAUUUUUCUGAUAGUUUUUAAGAUCAUUCAUGGGUGUUGAAGUUUGUCAGAGUCUUUCUGUAUCCAUUGAUUGUUAUGAUCAAGAAUUUUUUCUUUAGCCUGUUAAUACGAUGUAUUAAAUAGCUUCAUUUUCAACUACUGAGCCAGCCUGAAAUAAACCUCGCUUGGUCAUGAUAUAUUAUUACAUAUGCUGCUGAAUUCUAUUUUCUCUUUUACUGGUCUUUUGGCUGGAGAGAGUAGGCUUUUGUUGGGGCUUUACUUGUACGUGCACAUUGUUAUUUCUGGGUUGUCAGCCUCCUUCUCUCCAAGUCUGGGAUAUAUGGGACAAAAACAUAAUCCAGGGAGCCCACCACCUUGUUAGACUUUGAGUCCCUAGAUCCCUAGGUGGUCUGGCUUCUUUUUUUCACCUUUGAAAAUCUUAUGUUUGUUUUAUACAUAAUGUUGAGAGUUUUUCGUUGUUCUUAGUGGCAGAAGUAUAGAAAGAUACUCCAUCUUCUCAAAAAUAGAAGUUCAGAUUAUGUUUUGAAAGGCACUGUAGGCAGGCCAGGGAAGGCUUGUAAAAGGCUACUGCACUGGUCCAGGUGAGGGGAGUUAGUCUGGUAGAAGGCUGUUUCUUCCACCAUUCUCCCCUCACAUUCCACUGCCCCAUUUGCAUGGAGCUGGGGUUCUACUACCCCAGUAGGGCAGCAAGAGAGAAGGAGCAGGCAAUAUCUUGGAGCAUUACACCAUGAUAAAGGGACACCAAUACCCUCCAGAUGCUAGCUGUUUCUUUCUAGAGCUUUUAAACAUUCUCCUUCAGCAGAAGAAAUAAGUCACUCCUGAAAGCAUCCUAACAAUGUGCAUUUCUCCAAAGUUUCCUUAACACUUCACAUUUAACAUGACUCCAGGUAUAAGCAACAUUAAACAAGUCAUAUCUUAUGUUACAACUUGAGUGAAACUUUAAUGAUGCUGAAUUUGCUAAUUUGCUCUGGUAUAAUGUAUUUCCUGUUUAUAAUCCCUUUUGGCUAAUAGCACUAAUCAACAGAAAACACUGACAGACUGCACAAUGGCAACAGUAAUUCUGGACAGAGAUAGUUUUAUUAUCUACAGAUGAAUCCAUGUUUCUAAAACAUUAUUUACUAUAAUGUAAAAUAUGGGUUGGGCGUGGUGGCUCACACCUGUAAUCUCAGCACUUUGGGAGGCUGAGGCGGGCAGAUCACCUGAGGUCAGCAGUUCAAGCCUAGCCUGGCCAACAUGGUGAAACCCCAUCUCUACUAAAAAUACAAAAAUUAGCCAAGUGCAGUGGUGCAUGCUUGUAAUCCCAGCUACUUGGGGGGCUGAGGUAGGAGGAUUGAUUGAACCUGGGAGGCAGAGGUUGCAGUGAGCCGAGAUCAUACCACUGCACUCCAACCUGGGCAACAGAAGGAGACUCUAUCUCAAAAAAUAAAAAUAAAAAUAAAAAUAAAAUGUAGUAGAUAAAGGUCAUAAUUUCUAUGCACCAAAGCUUUUAUAGGAGGCCUGUAUUUUAGCAAUCAACCUGUCCUUAUUCUGUUCAAAUUCAAGGGCACUUGAAUCACUUUAGAUGGUGUCACCUACAUUGGGAAGCAAUCACAGUAUAGAUAUUUUUUCUUAUUAUGUUUGCAAAAUAAACUUCACAAAAUUGUCUAGCAACCUUGUGACCACUUGUUUUCUUUUAUUGAACAUAAUAAUCCUUUUAAC